UUGGAGUUUGCUGAUGACUUAGUGUAAUAGGUACUACUGUAUUAUUAUCUUCAUUUUACAGAUGAGAAAACUGAGGCUUGGAGAGGUUCAGUGACUUGCCAUGAAAAUUUGAAAUUGUCUUCUUGACUCUGAAGCUCACACUCUAUCCAUUAUUCCUUGCUUUUCUUUUAUAAAGUAAGGAGCAUUGGAUAUCCCAAGCAAUGAUCACAGAAUCUACAUGUGCUAACAACUGGAUCAAGCUAAAACACUGCUUCACCUCCUUAAGCUGUGAUCUCAUUAGAGCUUAGAAGCAGAAGAGCACAGAGCACAGUGAGUAUACAGAUGGGAGGUUGCCAAAGAAAGGAUAUGCUACUGGCAAUUCAUUUG
rnacentral:lncRNA from 1 species